UACGGAGGGUGCAAGCGUUAUCCGGAUUCACUGGGUUUAAAGGGUGCGUAGGCGGGCAGGUAAGUCCGUGGUGAAAUCUCCAAGCUUAACUUGGAAAUUGCCGUUGAUACUAUCUGUCUUGAAUAUUGUGGAGGUGAGCGGAAUAUGUCAUGUAGCGGUGAAAUGCUUAGAUAUGACAUAGAACACCAAUUGCGAAGGCAGCUCACUACUCAAUCAUUGACUCUGAGGCACGAAAGCGUGGGGAUCAAACAGG
rnacentral:rRNA from 1 species